CGAACGCCGCGUGAGCGAUGAAGGCCUUCGGGUCGUAAAGCUCUGUGUUAGGGAAGAACAAGUACCGUUCGAAUAGGGCGGUACCUUGACGGUACCUAACCAGAAAGCCACGGCUAACUACAUGCCAGCAGCCGCGGUAAUACGUAGGUGGCAAGCGUUAUCCGGAAUUAUUGGGCGUAAAGCGCGCGCAGGCGGCUUCUUAAGUCUGAUGUGAAAGCCCACGGCUCAAUCGUGGAGGGUCAUUGGAAACUGGGGAACUUGAGUGCAGAAGAGAAAAGCGGAAUUCCACGUGUAGCGGUGAAAUGCGUAGAGAUGUGGAGGAACACCAGUGGCGAAGGCGGCUUUUUGGUCUGUAACUGACGCUGAGGCGCGAAAGCGUGGGGAGCAAACAGGAUUAGAUACCCUGGUAGUCCACGCCGUAAACGAUGAGUGCUAAGUGUUAGAGGGUUUCCGCCCUUUAGUGCUGCAGCUAACGCAUUAAGCACUCCGCCUGGGGAGUACGGUCGCAAGACUG
rnacentral:rRNA from 1 species